UUUGUACUCCCUCCGUCCGGAAAUACUUGUCAUUGAAAUGGAUGUAUCUGGAUGUAUUUUAGUUUUAGAUACAUUCAUUUUCAUCCAUUUUGAUGACAAGUAUUUUUGGACGGAGGGAGUAUAUU
rnacentral:pre_miRNA from 1 species